rnacentral:rRNA from 1 species
GCUGCCGCAGUAUUCUGACUGUGCUAAGGUAGCAUAAUAAUUUGGUUUUUAAUUGAAGUCUAGAAUAAAAGAUUAGACAGUGUGGGUCACGUCUUUUAAAGUAGCUAAAAAAAUUUUUUCAGAAUGUAAAAAAACCUUCUAAAUUUAGAGGGACGACAAGACCCUAAAAUCUGUAAUUUUAAAUCUGCUUUAAGAAAUCCAAUGAAUUUUAAAGCCUUACUGGGGCGGUAAUUUCUACUAAACAAUUUAAAUAAGACCAUAUUGUAUGAAAUUAAAUUCCCCUUAUGUUAAAUAUUAAGAUACUUUAGGGAUAACAGCGUGAUUCCUCCCUAGAGACCUAAUCGCCGGGGGAGAUUACGACCUCGAUGUUGAAUUGAGAGCGCUAUUAUAAGCAGCCCUAUACCAAGCAAGUCUGUUCGACUUUUAAACUCUCACGUGAUCUGAGUUCAGACCGGA